ACAAGUAGUGUCUGAUAGUGUUUGUAGUGAAUCAGGUGAGCAUGGAUCCACUGACGUCUUUAAAAGCAAGAAGAGAAAAUAGAAAAGAUUGUGAAUGAUUCUGCCUUCCCUUCGAAGGCCACACCUCAGCAGUACCAACAGCACGAUAACCUCUCCAGUACUUCAGCAAAUGGAGGGACUGAAACUAACACAGGACCAGUUGAAGUAGAGGUAGAACAUGCCAGCACAUGCAAUCAAGAUGAGAUAAGGACAUGUAGCUAUACCAGUGGACAUUCUUGAUGCUGAUAAUCCUAUUCCUGGACUAGUAUUACUACCUCCUAAUACAGAGACACAGCCCCCAGUCGACUCAUCACAUCAUUUUGUACAUAUACUUCAUCGCCCUUCUAAUGAUGAUGUCAUGGACUCUCAAGUUAACAAGACAAGUAUCCUGAAUUUAAAUGUAUGUGCUGGGACAAGUGGAACAGGAGGACAUGAAAUAAUGGCGAGAGACUUAAUGGAAGUAGAGGAGGAGACGAAUGAAAUGGAGGACAUUGAUCAAGUGAAGACUAAUUUAGAGGAAACUAAUAUUAGGAAAA